rnacentral:rRNA from 1 species
GAUCCUGGCUCAGGAUGAACGCUAGCGACAGGCCUAACACAUGCAAGUCGAGGGGCAGCGGAGAGGUAGCAAUACCUUUGCCGGCGACCGGCGCACGGGUGAGUAACACGUAUGUAAUCCACCUGUAACAGGGGGAUAACCCGGAGAAAUCCGGACUAAUACCCCAUAAUAUGGGUUCUCCGCAUGGAGGGUCCAUUAAAGAGAGCAAUUUUGGUUACAGACGAGCAUGCGCUCCAUUAGCCAGUUGGG